rnacentral:lncRNA from 1 species
AGUAGAAGAGCUCUCGGUUUUUCCUCCGAGCUGAAAGUGAGCUCUCGGUUUUUUAGCAAAGGGUGGUGGUUCUUCAUUAGUUUUCCCCUCUCUCUUGGAAGGUAAUUAGCAAGUCAUGGAAGGCUGUUCCUGAGCCUGAAAAACAGCCAUUAGAAGGGAAGAAAGCUGCUGCAAGGAAGGAGAAAAUCUGUCCUGAUUUCCGGCCGAACACAGGUUGUAUUUUUCCAUCCCCUUUUCAUUGUUUUGCCUUGAAUCUUGUCUAUUGGUUGAUUGAACUCCUAG